AAUAAUAAUGAAUAUGUUGCUCAUAUAGGUUCCAUAAUACGGUUGGGACGUUUCUACAAAUGACCGAAAAUCAUUUAGCUAUGGGCGAAAGUGUACCUAGG
rnacentral:ncRNA from 2 species